CAACUCCUCUCCCUAACA
rnacentral:tRNA from 1 species